rnacentral:hammerhead_ribozyme from 1 species
AUCUAGCUGACGAGCCCCAAACAGGACGAAACACACAUCCUGGAU